GGUGCAGGAAACCACAUGGGCAAUUGAUUUAGCCGCCGCGAUUCGCCCUUAGAGUUUGAUCCUGGCUCAGCAUGAACGCUAGCUACAGGCCUAACACAUGCAAGUCGAGGGGCAUCGGGAGGGAAGCUUGCUUCCCUUGCCGGCGACCGGCGCACGGGUGAGUAACGCGUAUCGAACCUGCCCCAUACCCGGGGAUAGCCUUGCGAAAGUAAGAUUAAUACCCGAUGGCUUCCUUUUAUCUCCUGAUAGAGGGAAUAAAGAAUUUCGGUAUGGGAUGGCGAUGCGUCCGAUUAGCUGGUUGGCGGGGUAACGGCCCACCAAGGCGACGAUCGGUAGGGGUUCUGAGAGGAAGGUCCCCCACAUUGGAACUGAGACACGGUCCAAACUCCUACGGGAGGCAGCAGUGAGGAAUAUUGGUCAAUGGGCGGAAGCCUGAACCAGCCAAGUAGCGUGCAGGAUGACGGCCCUAUGGGUUGUAAACUGCUUUUAGGCGGGGGUAAAGGGGCGGACGCGUUCCGCCUUUGCAAGUACCGCCAGAAAAAGGACCGGCUAAUUCCGUGCCAGCAGCCGCGGUAAUACGGAAGGUCCGGGCGUUAUCCGGAUUUAUUGGGUUUAAAGGGAGCGUAGGCGGGCUAUUAAGUCAGCUGUGACAUCCGGCGGCUCAACCGUCGGCCUGCAGUUGAUACUGGUGGUCUUGAGUGCGCGCAGGGGUGUUGGAAUUCAUGCUGUAGCGGUGAAAUGCUCAGAUAUCAUGAAGAACUCCGAUCGCGAAGGCAGAUGCCCCGGAGCGCAACUGACGCUGAGGCUCGAAAGUGCGGGUAUCAAACAGGAUUAGAUACCCUGGUAGUCCGCACAGUAAACGAUGGAUACUCGCGGUUCGGCUCUAGAGCGGAGCCGCCAAGCGAAAGCGUUAAGUAUCCCACCUGGGGAGUACGCCGGCAACGGUGAAACUCAAAGGAAUUGACGGGGGCCCGCACAAGCGGAGGAACAUGUGGUUUAAUUCGAUGAUACGCGAGGAACCUUACCCGGGCUUGAACUGCGGCUGCAUAGACCAGAGAUGGUCUUUCCCUUCGGGGCUGCCGCGGAGGUGCUGCAUGGUUGUCGUCAGCUCGUGCCGUGAGGUGUCGGCUUAAGUGCCAUAACGAGCGCAACCCUUCUCCACGCUUGCCAUCGGGUGAUGCCGGGCACACCGUGGACACUGCCAUCGUAAGAUGCGAGGAAGGUGGGGAUGACGUCAAAUCAGCACGGCCCUUACGUCCGGGGCUACACACGUGUUACAAUGGCCGGUACAGAGGGAAGCCACCUGGCGACAGGGCGCGGAUCCCGAAAUCCGGUCUCAGUUCGGACUGGAGUCUGCAACCCGACUCCACGAAGCUGGAUUCGCUAGUAAUCGCGCAUCAGCCAUGGCGCGGUGAAUACGUUGCCCGGGCANUGUACACAGCGCCCGUCAAGGGCGAAUUCGUUUAAACAAUGCAGGACUGGUCCCAUUUAGUGAGGCUAAUUCUGGCUGCUGUCUGGAAAAA
rnacentral:rRNA from 1 species